GGUUUAAUUACCCAAGUUUGAGGUAAACAUUGAAACUGACCCAAAGAAAUUUGGCGUUGGCUUAGGCUUAGGCUUAGGCUUAGGCUUAGGCUUAGGCUUAGG
rnacentral:snRNA from 16 species